GUGAGGGGAGGGGUGAAGGGUGAGGGGAGGGGUGAGGGAGAGCACCACGUGAUGCAGGCGUUGCUGAGCUCGGUGAUCCGCACGGUCAAGCAAGGAGCGGGCGCAGUCGUGGCCUGCAGCAUGGCCUCGUCAGCAGCUGAGUCGUGGAAGGAGGCCAAGAGUCUGUACGAGUUUAGCGCCACUGACAUCGACGGUGCCAAGGUCUCUCUCGACAAGUACAGGGGUCACGUUUGCAUCGUGGUGAACGUGGCGACCAAGUGAGGGCGGACGCCCGUGAACUACAUCCAGCUGGCCGACAUGCACGCCCGGCUCGCUGGGGGGGAACACGGCCUCCGCAUCCUCGCCUUCCCCUGCAACCAGUUUGGUGGGCAGGAGCCGGGCACGGACGCGGAGAUAAAGGCGUUCGCCGAGGGCACGUACUCGGUCAAGUUUGACCUCUACAGCAAGGUGGAGGUGAACGGGGACGGCGCCCACCCGCUGUGGCGCUGGAUGAAGAGCCAGCCCAACGGCAAGGGCACGCUGGGGAAUAACAUCAAGUGGAACUUCACCAAAUUCCUCAUUGAUAAGGAGGGCCACGUGGCCAAGAGAUACGGGCCCAUGGACGACCCCGUGGUGAUCGAGAAGGACCUCUCCAAGUUCUUGUAAGCGCUCCUGAGAAGCCACGAGGCCGCCAGUGUAUCCGGCCAGUCUCUCAAGCCCCUGACCUCUCUGACCCCUGAGCCCUGCCCCCUGCCCCCCCCCCCCCCCUCUCGGCCUGGGCCUAUGACGAGCGGCCUCACAAACCGGGCGACCGGUGGAGGCUGCCCCGAGCCUUUCCGGGCGUGCAAAUUUAACCAGGCCGGUGAGGGGAGGGGGGGGAGGUGGUGGUAACGGAAGACGAGGGGUGGGGCGAUGGCUUACGUGGCGUGUGUGUGUAGACGUAGGUGUGUGGAAGGGGGCGCGUUGUCUGUGCGCGUACGAUAAUGUCUGUGCCUGAGGUUGCGUGCGUAGGAGAGCGCAUGCACGGAUGUGUGUAGGCGUGUGUGCGCGCGUACGAGUGUGUAUACGAGCGCAUCUACGUACGUGCGUGUGCAUUAUAAGUGCGGGUGGGUGUGUGCGUGGGUCAAACGAGACCGUGUAUUGGACACAUGAGUACGCACGUGAGUACGAGUGUGUGCAUCUGUGCCUCCUGGUGCGUGCAUGAGUGUACGUGUGGGUACGAGUGUGUGGGAGCGUGCAUAUGACUGUACGUACGUUGAACUUCUUUCGCACCACCGUACCUAGCCAACUGCGCUCAUCGGAGGUGUGGGGGGAAGGAGAAAGCUACACAAAGAGAGGUUCUAAAGAAAUUCGUUUUCAAUCUGCGUGCAAAAAACGCAAACUCUACUCGCUCAUUCACACUGCAUGUGUGUGCAUACGAAUGCAUACGUGUGUGCAUCUGUGGGGAGCGGUAGUUUAGCGGUUAGCACCAUGCGCUACAAACCCGGCCACCUGCGUCCGAUUCCCGUUCACAGCCAACACCAGUGAGUAUUAUCUAAACUGGUCCUGGGCCUCCCAUAGGUCGACUCAGCAUGCAAUGAGUACCUGGUGCAGUGUGUAAACACCGCCACUGGGGAGACAAAGGCGGCCGGGCGUAUUCACUGGCCACUCACCACAUCGUGUGCCGUACCGGCCUUUCUUAGGUUCUGCUCACUAAUGGCACUUGCCCCAACAGUCUUAAGGCUAUACGGCGGUUCUUUUUUUUUCCUCUGUUAAGGUGUGGAUGUGUGAACUGAUGAAAGCCCCCUUCGAGUAGUUGGAUGCACGGUUGGAUUAAAGCUUUGACCCUU